AUUGAACGCUGGCGGAAUGCUUUACACAUGCAAGUCGAACGGGGUUUAAGAGCUUGCUCUUGAACCUAGUGGCGAACGGGUGAGUAAUAUAUCGGAACGUAUCCAAUAAUGGGGGAUAACUAGUCGAAAGAUUGGCUAAUACCGCAUACGUCCUACGGGAGAAAGCUGGGGAUCGUAAGACCUGGCGUUAAUGGAGCGGCCGAUAUCUGAUUAGCUAGUUGGUGGGGUAAAGGCUCACCAAGGCGACGAUCAGUAGCUGGUACGAGAGGACGACCAGCCACACUGGAACUGAGACACGGUCCACACUCCUACGGGAGGCAGCAGUGGGGAAUUUUGGACAAUGGGCGAAAGCCUGAUCCAGCCAUUCCGCGUGAGUGAAGAAGGCCUUCGGGUUGUAAAGCUCUUUCGCAAGAGAAGAAAACUUACCUAAUAACACUAGGUGAGGUUGACGGUACCUUGAUAAGAAGCACCGGCUAACUACGUGCCAGCCGCCGCCGUAA
rnacentral:rRNA from 1 species